rnacentral:rRNA from 1 species
GAACGCUGGCGGCGUGCCUAACACAUGCAAGUCGAACGGAGUUAAAUAAAAGCUUGCUUUUAUUUAACUUAGUGGCGGACGGGUGAGUAACACGUGGGUAACCUGCCCUAAACACAGGGAUAACAAUGAGAAAUCAUUGCUAAUACCGGAUAAGCUUACAAUAACACAAGUUAUAGUAAGAAAAGAUUUAUCGGUUUAGGAUGGGCCCGCGUCUGAUUAGCUAGUUGGUAAGGUAAUGGCUUACCAAGGCGACGAUCAGUAGCCGACCUGAGAGGGUGAUCGGCCACAUUGGGACUGAGACACGGCCCAAACUCCUACGGGAGGCAGCAGUGGGGAAUAUUGCACAAUGGGGGAAACCCUGAUGCAGCAACGCCGCGUGAAGGAAGAAGGUUUUCGGAUCGUAAACUUCUAUCGAUGGGGAAGAAUAAAUGACGGUACCCAAGUAAGAAGCCCCGGCUAACUACGUGCCAGCAGCCGCGGUAAUACGUAGGGGGCAAGCGUUAUCCGGAAUUACUGGGUGUAGGGCCCGCACAAGCGGUGGAGCAUGUGGUUUAAUUCGAAGCAACGCGAAGAACCUUACCCAAGGCUUGACAUCCUUCUCGAUACUCUAGAAAUAGGGUAGCCCUUCGGGGGAGAAGUGACCAGGUGGUGCAUGGUUGUCGUCAGCUCGUGUCGUGAGAUGUUGGGUUAAGUCCCGCAACGAGCGCAACCCUUAUCUUUAGUAGCUAGCAGGUAAUGCUGAGCACUCUAGAGAGACUGCCAUGAAUAACAUGGAGGAAGGUGGGGACGACGUCAAAUCAUCAUGCCCCUUACGCCUUGGGCUACACACGUGCUACAAUGGCUACUACAAAGUGAAGCAAGACAGUGAUGUUAAGCAAAGCACAGAAAAGUAGUCCCAGUUCGGAUUGUAGUCUGCAACUCGACUACAUGAAGUCGGAAUCGCUAGUAAUCGCAAAUCAGCAUGUUGCGGUGAAUACGUUCCCGGGCCUUGUACACACCGCCCGUCACACCAUGGGAGUUUGAUGCACCCGAAGUUUGUGACCAAACCGCCAAGGAUGGAGCAAC